rnacentral:rRNA from 1 species
AUUGAACGCUGGCGGCAUGCUUUACACAUGCAAGUCGAACGGUAGCACGGGCUUCGGCCUGGUGGCGAGUGGCGAACGGGUGAGUAAUGCAUCGGAACGUGCCGUGUAGUGGGGGAUCACGUAGCGAAAGUUACGCUAAUACCGCAUACGCCCUGAGGGGGAAAGUGGGGGACCGCAAGGCCUCACGCUAUACGAGCGGCCGAUGUCGGAUUAGCUAGUUGGUAGGGUAAAGGCAUACCAAGGCGACGAUCCGUAGCGGGUCUGAGAGGAUGAUCCGCCACACUGGGACUGAGACACGGCCCAGACUCCUACGGGAGGCAGCAGUGGGGAAUUUUGGACAAUGGGCGCAAGCCUGAUCCAGCCAUGCCGCGUGAGUGAAGAAGGCCUUCGGGUUGUAAAGCUCUUUCAGACAGAAAGAAAUCGGUGUGUUUAAUACAUGCACUGGAUGACGGUACCGUAAGAAGAAGCACCGGCUAACUACGUGCCAGCCGCCGCCGUAACAC